rnacentral:lncRNA from 1 species
AGACGGUAUGCCACGGCCCCAAAACGAUCACGAAUCUUCAACCGGGUCCAAUGCAUCUUGGAUAAAGCUAGGCCUCUAUGCCCAAAGCGCAUCAAACCCCUCUUAGGGUAAACCCUCAAGAAAACGUUAUCCCCAACACAAACUCCAAUGGCUUUUCCUUCCGAUCAGUAUACUCUUUUUGACGACUUUGGUGCCGUGAGUAAACUUUUUAAUCAAGACACCUCUACUCUCGGUCGUAUCCGAACCCAUUCUGACUUGCAAGUACUCUUACUACUGCCUCUUUCUCCAUGUCGGUCCCAACCACUGGUGACCUACAUGGUCUUUCCGUACAAAUGCUCAAAGGUGCCAUAGCCCGAUGCUCCGCCUGAUAACUAGUGUUAUAAUGCGACUCUAACCAAUGUAGAUGAUCCUCCCAUGAAUCCCCUCCAAAAUUAAGUACCAUGCUCGAAGGCAUGUCCUCCAAAAUCUUAAUCGUACGCUCAGAACUGCCCCGUCAGUCUGAGAUGAAACGCCGUGCUAAGUCAAUUCGAUCCUCAGGGCGAAUUGGUAUCCCCUUCCCAAAAGAGAUAUUUAACGCGGAUCUCUAUUCGAAAACGAUAGAUGACCGGAACCCCAUGAAAUCUAACGAUCUCUCUCUUCGAACAUAAAGAACACGCAGAUCCUCUACCGAAUUUGACAAACGAUGAAAGAAAUGCGUGGAUUUUUGUCAACGAUCCACUAUGACCCAAAAAACGACCCAUCAUGCCCUCCUCAAUGAUCUAAGGGCAAACCCGUACAAAGUCCAUAGUUAUGUGCUCCCAUUUCCACUCCUGCAACUGUAAUGGUUUGUAGCAAACUUCUGGCCUUUGGUAUUCGGCUUUCACUUGCUUGACAAGUCAAAACAAACCUCAAAACGAAUAAAGCAACAUCUUUCUUCAUUCGUCUCCACCAAAAAUUGCGACAUAAAUCAUGAUACACUUUGUCCCUCCAGGAUGAACUGCAAGUCGUGAAAUGAUGAACUCCUCAUGACGAACAUCGUUUCUACAAGACAAAGGCACAAACAAUCUAACUUAUAUCUCAAACUCUGAUCCUCAUGUGAAAACCCAUUUGGGCUACAUUUCUUUCUAGCAAUGCGAUCCUGCAAAUAUCGUUGCCUCCACAUCUUGCUGUUUGUGCCUCAAUGACCUACUAAUGAUUGAUGGCUCUGCAACAAUGUGAAUAACGCUCAAACUCGUGUCGUCUCGCCGAGAAUAAAUCAUACUCACUCGUAUCUUGAAGGCAUUUUCCACUCAUGGAUGAAAAUGCUCGCCCAAAACACCAAUCGAUUUCCUCUAAGUGCAUCGCCACAACGUUAGCUUUCCGGGAUGAUAUUGUAAAUCGAAGCCAUAGUCUUCCAUGUCUCCAUCCAACGCCGUUGCCCUCAAGUUCAAGUCCUUCUGUGUAACAAGUACUUUCAAACUCUUUGUGGUAUGAAAACACUUCAAACAAACCGCUCUCCGUACAAGUAAUGCCUCCAACUCUUUCAAGCAAACAUAACGGCCGCCGCAAUUCUAAGUCAUGAGUUUGGAUAAUUUGUUCGGCUCCUUCAACUGAUGAUGACCUAUACGGCAAUCACACUUUACCGGCAAUUGCCAUCAACAUCGCAACCCAAGCCAUCACUUGAAAGCAAUCGCAUACACUGUAAUACCCGAUACCCCAACCCUCGCUCGGGAUAAGAGAAUGGUGCCGAAUCAGUCCUCUUCUUAAGGCUCUUUGAAAAGAUGCUCGCAUGCAUCGGGUCAAAACAAUGAAUUCCCUCCUCGUAGUCGAGUCAUUUGGGGCGCCUAAAUCUUGAAGUCCUCUAACAAUCACCUGUAAGUAACCAGCUAAACCCAAGAAACUCCGAAUUUCAAAUAACCGGUCUUCGGCUCCCAAUUCAAUCACUGCCUCAAUCUUUGAUGAAUCCACAGCUACUCUCCACUCCCCGACACAAACUGACCAAAGAGUUUACCUCAGGUAACCAAAACUCGCAUUUGCUAAGGCGUAGCAUACAAGUGAUGUUUCUUGCAAAACUGCAACAACACUUCCUCAAAUGCUCCUCAUGGUGACUCAUGCUGGCGAAUAUAUCAAGAAUCGUCCACGAAUUAAACAUAAGUAAAGUACCCUCGCACAAUAGAGGUCAGCCACGUUGUUGGCUCCUACUGUCCCGCUAUCCCUGACGGUCCCGCUACUGAUGUUUAUAAAAAAAAUAGGUAAACCCUCCUUUGCGUCCGUCCUCUGACCCCUGACCUUGCUGAGCUAACAGCCUGUGGUCUGACUGAUUAUGAAGUCGUGCUGAUUUAAAUGCUAGAGUAGCCCUCGAGGCCUGACUAACCGAGUAGGUUUGUUGCUAUCCCUUACUCCCUUGACUGUUCUCUCCCUCUACGUGCACUGUCGACUGAUAUGGACCCACCUGACCACACCGAUAGUAGGUAGGUGGCCCCAUGGCUAGUGAAUUGUCCCUAUGGUGCCCUGGAUGUGAGAUUGUCCCCCUGUGCGACUG